AUUGAACGCUGGCGGCAUGCCUUACACAUGCAAGUCGAACGGCAGCGCGGGUGCUUGCACCUGGCGGCGAGUGGCGAACGGGUGAGUAAUAUAUCGGAACGUGCCCUAGAGUGGGGGAUAACUAGUCUAAAGAUUAGCUAAUACCGCAUACGAUCUACGGAUGAAAGUGGGGGAUCGCAAGACCUCAUGCUCCUGGAGCGGCCGAUAUCUGAUUAGCUAGUUGGUGGGGUAAAAGCCUACCAAGGCGACGAUCAGUAGCUGGUCUGAGAGGACGCCCAGCCAGCCUGGGACUGCGACACGGCCCAGACUCCUACGGGAGGCAGCAGUGGGGAAUUUUGGACAAUGGGGGCAACCCUGAUCCAGCAAUGCCGCGUGUGUGAAGAAGGCCUUCGGGUUGUAAAGCACUUUUGUCAGGAACGAAACGGUGAGGGCUAAUAUCCUUUGCUAAUGACGGUACCUGAAGAAUAAGCACCGGCUAACUACGUGCCAGCCGCCGCGGUAA
rnacentral:rRNA from 1 species